CUUCCACCUCACCCACCAUACAGCGCCUCUACCAACACGGGUGCUGUGCCUGGGAUUUAGAAACUCACAGGUUGCAUGAGCUCAUAUUUCCGUGCUGCCACAUGGACUUUGCAGCCAUGGGAUGGAUCUCUUGCUAGACCUCUCCACCCAAGCACUGGAGAAUUGGUAAAGCUCCCUACUCUCACUGGUCAGCAUAAACGCCCUCUGGUCCCAAGGGAGGGCUGUUGAGCUUGCAGCCACCCCGUGGUGUCCUGGUCUUCUUACUGAUGCUUCGUUCUCGGACCUCUACCCCUGGGUCUCCGAAGAAGAUAUGGGCACAGUGACAAGAUUCUACCUGGACUGUGGUAUGAUAACCACUGAGAAACACUGCUCCAUUGCCUUGCCCACUGUCAAAGCUUGGCCUACACUGUGGAUAAAUAGAGGCUACCCAAAGAA
rnacentral:lncRNA from 1 species